CCUCUAACUAUGAAAAAGUGUGCUUUUCAAAAUAAAACUAAAAAAGAAAAGGAUAUUUUUCAAAACGACACAAUUUUUAUUUACUUUUUGGGAUGAAAAAUAGCUUCUUCGUCUUGGGCGCUUCAUCUUCUCAAAAUUGUAAUUCUUCGUCGCUUCGUCGUUUGGGUACUGACCAAAAUAACACACUUUUUCUCAAUUUGUCUAUCGGUCUCUUUUUACAUCCCUUAGUCGCAAGCUUGGGCUUGUAAAUUAAGACUUCGCUUCUGCUCCAGCGAAGAUUAGUGGGGUUUCAGAGAUUUCUAAUCAAAGACCGUGCUUGGAGAUUCCAGGGUCAGACUUGUCUUUCGGAGGUUAAGAUGAAGGAUGACACACAUUCAAAUGAAAAGAAGAGAAAGGAUGAUGCAGAGCCAGGCAAAAGUGUCCCAGAAAUCGGACUCAGAUGAAGGCUUUCACGAAAGUUAUAGGCAAUUCAGUCAGCUUUCCAACGGAGGUGAGUUCAAGCAAAUCGGAGCUGCGAUGCAAGAGUUAUGUAGGUUUUACUGGACAUACAGUGUUAUUGUCGAGAAGAAACAAGUGUUGCUAAGAAGCCAUCAGGUCUCGGGGCCUUGUCAGCAUGUAUAGAGAAACAUUUUUUUUUUUCAAGUAGAGAAACAUGCUUGUUUAAUUUCCAGAGGAGUUGGCAUAUAAAUGAGUUGAGUGUUCAUUUCUGUUGUAAUACAAGGAGAUAGUGCCCACUGUCUCCCUUUAACCCUCCAGAGAGGUCAAUGGAAGCUUGGUUUGCAAAAUCAUCACACAUUUGAUCCUUUCAAUUGUUCUCUAAGAUGGAGGAUCUCUUUUUGGCUAUUUAAAAGCUGCUUCUUGCUCCAGUUGAUGUUAGCCAAUCUGCAUAAAUGUAGGCGGUGAUCCACGGCUGCCAAAGGACGUGACUAGGGGACAAUGAUCAAAACCUUCAAAACAGAGAUACUCACCGCCAUCUGAGGGAUACGCUAUGACCCAAUCACUGUUUGCCAUCGCUCUGCCUAGUCUACAUCUGAGAAGCUGAGUAUGUCUUUUUCCUCUCCAAGAUAGGAAAUUACCACUAUGUUUUAGAUAGUACAACUUACAAGAUGAAAGUUCUCAAGUCGGAAAAUGACCCUUCUGAACUUGGUGGGCCUCCAGUUUUCUCUUCACUACUAAUUAUGUCAUGUCAUUGAAAUAUUCCAUGAUGAACCAAGGACCGGAUCUGGAGGAGGAAAGGGUUUGAAGUUGAUCCCACAAGAGACCUCGCACUUGUAGGAGAAGUGUUGUGUACAUUGGGAACAAUGAUGAAGAAAUUAAGUUUGGAAAAAAGUUAGAAAAAAAUUCACUAUAAUAGCCAAGGUUUUUCCCUGUUUUUAUUUCUUUUUCGAUUGUGUUUUGUUGGGAACUUUGAGCGUUUAUAUUAUCCCACUACAUCAAAAUAUGUUUUAUUCAUCUUCUUAGAACUCUGAUUUCUGUUAUUAAUGUGCUCUGGAUCAAAAUUAACUAGGAGGUGAUGGUAUUUGUUGUAUAUGUUGAAGUAACCUCCACAGACCAUGUAAAUGAAGGUAGAUGAGUAGUUGUCCAUCAUACUCUCGAUCUUU